UGGGGAAUUUUGGACAAUGGGCGAAAGCCUGAUCCAGCAAUGCCGCGUGUGUGAAGAAGGCCUUCGGGUUGUAAAGCACUUUUGUCCGGAAAGAAAUCCUUGGCUCUAAUACAGUCGGGGGAUGACGGUACCGGAAGAAUAAGCACCGGCUAACUACGUGCCAGCAGCCGCGGUAAUACGUAGGGUGCAAGCGUUAAUCGGAAUUACUGGGCGUAAAGCGUGCGCAGGCGGUUUGCUAAGACCGAUGUGAAAUCCCCGGGCUCAACCUGGGAACUGCAUUGGUGACUGGCAGGCUAGAGUAUGGCAGAGGGGGGUAGAAUUCCACGUGUAGCAGUGAAAUGCGUAGAGAUGUGGAGGAAUACCGAUGGCGAAGGCAGCCCCCUGGGCCAAUACUGACGCUCAUGCACGAAAAGCGUGGGGAGCAAACAGGAUUAGAUACCCUGGUAGUCCACGCCCUAAAACGAUGUCAACUAGUUGUUGGGGAUUCAUUUCCUUAGUAACGUAGCUAACGCGUGAAGUUGACCGCCUGGGGAGUACGGCCGCAAGAAUUAAACUUAAAGGAAUUGACGGGGUCAUAGCUGUUUCCU
rnacentral:rRNA from 1 species